rnacentral:rRNA from 1 species
UACGAAGGGGGCUAGCGUUGUUCGGAAUCACUGGGCGUAAAGCGCACGCAGGCGGAUUGAUAAGUCAGGGGUGAAAUCCCGGAGCUCAACUUCGGAAUUGCCUUUGAUACUGUCUGUCUUGAGUCCGGGAGAGGUGAGUGGAAUUCCUAGUGUAGAGGUGAAAUUCGUAGAUAUUCGGAAGAACACCAGUGGCGAAGGCGGCUCACUGGCUCAUACUGGACGCUGAGGUGCGAAAGCGUGGGGAGCAAACAGG